GGAACUUUUUGUGCCUUCUGGGACACUAUACAUAGGAACAGUGGACUCCUGAGAAAACACAUCCACUCAGGAUCUUCAAGAAUUUAUCUAUUUUUGCCAAAUGAGUCUUGGUUCAAGCAAUAGAGACAUUCUAUUGAGGCCACAGCCAUUGUUCGUCAACUGAGAGGUUUUACUCCAGAUUGCCAAUUUCUCUAAACUUUUCUCACGUAUCAACUAGUCAUAAUUUGCAAGGCUCCUCCUUUAGAGCUCCCAAAAACUCUCCUGCUUCUUAGAUCCUUUCAUUGCUGAUCCACAAUGUGUGUUUUCUUUCAAAUACUAAAAGAUUUUCUGAUUAGGUUUUAAAAUACCUUUCAAAGCUUUAUGUCACCAAUUCAUGAAGGGGUAAGCAUAAUCCACCCAAGAAUAUUUCGUUUUCUUUAAUUAUGUAUUUUUCCCCAGUUUUAAAGAAUAUAUUUGAAGAAUCAGAGUUUAUGAUAGAAUACUCAAGAGAUAGCUUCUGGGCUUCUCUCCCCAUUUGUUUGUGGUGACAUGUUAAAUCUUAAACUAAUGGAGACACAUAGAGGGAAAUGCACACACACACACACACACACACAGAAAGAGAGAGAGAGAGAGAGAGAGAGAA